AGCAGCCGCGGUAAUUCCAGCCCCAAUAGCGUAUAUUAAAGUUGUUGCAGUUAAAAAGCUCGUAGUUGAAUUUCGGGACCAAUUUGUUGGUCGUGCCUCGGUACGUACUGGUAUUAUUGGUUUCUCCCUUCUGAAGAACCUCGAUGCCAUUAAUUUGGUGUCGUGGGGAAUCAGGACUGUUACUUUGAAAAAAUUAGAGUGUUUAAAGCAAGCAUACGCUUGAAUACAUUAGCAUGGAAUAAUGAAAUAGGACGUUUGAUUCUAUUUUGUUGGUUUCUAGGAUCGACGUAAUGAUUAAUAGGGAUAGUUGGGGGCAUUAGUAUUCAAUUGUCAGAGGUGAAAUUCUUGGAUUUAUUGAAGACUAACUACUGCGAAAGCAUUUGCCAAGGAUGUUUUCAUUAAUCAAGAACGAAAGUUAGGGGAUCGAAGACGAUCAGAUACCGUCGUAGU
rnacentral:rRNA from 1 species